AAGGUAGCGAAAUUCCUUGUCGGGUAAGUUCCGACCUGCACGAAUGGCGUAACGACUUCCCCACUGUCUCGACCAGGAGCUCGGCGAAAUUGCAGUACGAGUAAAGAUGCUCGUUAAGCGCAGAAGGACGAAAAGACCCCGGGACCUUUACUAUACCUUGGUAUUGGCAUUAGGCGCGGAUUGUGUAGCAUAGGCGGGAGGCUUCGAGGCGGGUGCGCCAGCAUCCGCGGAGCCGCAAGGUGAAAUACCGCUCUGUUCUCGUUUGAUGUCUAACCUCGAACAGUCAUCCUGUUCAGGGACAGUGCCUGGCGGGUAGUUCAACUGGGGCGGUUGCCUCCCAAAGAGUAACGGAGGCGCUCAAAGGUCCGCUCGGCCCGGUUGGCAAUCGGGUGUCGAGUGUAAUCGCACAAGCGGGCUUGACUGCGAGAUCGACGGAUCGAGCAGGGACGAAAGUCGGAGAUAGUGAUCCGGUGCCGGCGCACGGGCGCGGCAUCGCUCAACGGAUAAAAGGUACCCCGGGGAUAACAGGCUGAUCAUUCCCAAGAGUCCAUAUCGACGGGAUGGUUUGGCACCUCGAUGUCGGCUCGUCGCAUCCUGGGGCUGGAGCAGGUCCCAAGGGUUCGGCUGUUCGCCGAUUAAAGCGGCACGCGAGCUGGGUUCAGAACGUCGUGAGACAGUUUGGUCUCUAUCCUCUGCGCUCGUUGGAAUCUUGAGGAGGCCUGCCCAUAGUACGAGAGGACCUGGGUGGACGAACCUCUGGUAUGCCGGUCGUCACGCCAGUGGCGCGGCCGGUUGGCUACGUUCGGAAGGGAUAACCGCUGAAAGCAUCUAAGCGGGAAGCCUUCUCCAAGAUAAGGAUUCCAUGCGGCCCCGAGCCGCUGAAGACCCCAUGCAGAACACGUGGUCGAUAGGCCGGACGUGGAAGCCCCGCGAGGGGUGGAGCCGACCGGUACUAAUGGUCGAGAGGCAACCCACA
rnacentral:rRNA from 1 species